GAUGACAGUUCUCUCAAAUUGAUCUGCUGGUGAAACUCAAUUCUAAGUAAAAUCCCAACAGGUUUAUUUUUGUGAAAAUUGACAAGCUGAUUCUAAAAUUUGCAUGGAAAUGCAAAGUGCCGAAACAGUCAAGGCAAUCUUGAAUAAAAAUGAAAUUGGAGUCCUUCCACACCCAGAUAUCCUCCUUUAACUUUCAACAUUUUAGUACCACCUUUCUGAGAUAUGGCUUAAAAAUAGCAUACACUUGUAUUUUGUGAAUUUUCUGAAAGUUUUACCUCUUACACCCUUUGCAUUUACACCCUUUGCAUUUUUAGUUCUCACUUCUAUCAUCUUGUUCUCUGGUUUAUUUUAUACCUCCUUGUUCCCACUCCCCUUGGUGGUUUUGGUGUUUUUUUGUUUUUGUUUUGGGGUUUUUUGUUUUGUUUUUUUUUUUUUGCUGGAAUGGAAGAGUGGCUACAUAUUCUGUGGUCUUUCGAAGUUAUAUAUCUUGGCUUUUAAUUCAGCAGGUGGUCUCAUAUUGAUGAUUUUUUAGAUGGAAUUUAAUAUUUUGAGUUGCCUUUUUGACCAACAAGAAGGGGGCUUUAUUUCAGAAGUUUGAGUAGUUUGGUUGGAUGGUCUGGGAAAGAGGUCUCUGAAACCCCAACCUGACUCCUGAGAAGCAGAGAAGUUUAGGGCAUCUCCCCUGGGUGUCAGGAGGAGAGUUUAGGCUUGCCUACGCAGCAGUAAGAGAGUAUACUGUUUAGAUCUCCCUCUUUGCCAGCUGCCCCUUCAUUUCAAUUUAGGGCUUCUAGGCCUUUCCUGGGCAUGGUUCCCAGAAAGUCCCUCUGCUGCUGCUACCCUGAUCAGGUUUCUGGAUCUGUUAAUAAUAGACAACAGUGGGGGAAGGGCCAGGAUCAUUAUGGAAAUAGGAGCAACUAAACCAGAUGGACAGUUCCUAUGCACAGGGCCCUGUCUGUCUGCUCCUGUCCUGUGUCUGAGGAGCAUUCUGCAGUGAGCAUGUCUUCUAAGCCAUUCUUUGGAGCCACAUUAACCUUGUGAAGGUCUCCAAGUGCCUUUCCCCAAAAUCAGAACACAUGAUCUGGGGUGCUUAUGAGAACACUGAAACAGAAUGUUUGAGAUUCAAACUCUACCAGAAAACCCUGGAGGGGUGAUAAUACCCCUCACAGAACACCCAGAAGGGAAGGAGGUUGGGCCGCAAUUAGGUGAGGCAAAUAGUGACUCAGAGAGGCAAACUGUAUGUAAUCCUGGAAUCCAGAAGGGGAGUGGGGAAGGUGAAGGGGAAGUAUGGAAAAAUAAGGACAUGAUGAUGUUGGAGAAGUGGAAAUGGGAGAGUAAGACGAGCAUGUGACACAGGACCAUUAUUAAGUAAAAUAUGAAAUCAGCACAGUUUAAAUCUUGAUGCCUCCUAAUCUUCCUGUUCUCCAUGAAUGGACUUCCGUCUUCUGCCUCUACUCCCUGCAUACUCCUUUUCCUUUACCAAAACCUGCUCGUAGUACAGUAAACUCAACUUAGGUCACGACUCCUCCCUCCUCCCCAAAGUAACCACUAUCCUGACAUUUAUGGUAAUCACUCAGGAUUUUAUUUUAAUGGGACUAAUGAUUUAGCUAUAAAUAAUCACUGAUGGUAGACUAUUAGGCAGUUGAGGGAUGUUUGGAGGAGCCACAAGAGGCAGCUAGAUCUCAGCACACUCAAAAAUCACACCACGUCGUACAGUUAGUUCCCUCUGUGCCUAUGAUUAAGAAACACCUCACCAGAAGACGAUCCCACAGAACUCCAAGUACAGUGCUGUGCCCUAUGCCCGCAGCUCCAUACUGUCAUCCACUGAUCCAGAAAGAACCAUACCCUACAUUCCUCCCAAGGCAGAGCAAAAGUAGGUCCCAGCUCACAGUACUUGGGCGAGUGUAAGGGACUGGCAGUCUCUGCUGCUGACAUGUGAGGCUAGGACAUGGCCUAAACUUCCCUGGGCCUUAGUUUCUCACUGUGAAGUAUGGGGCCAUGAUAAAGCCCUUUACAAUCCCCUAUUCCUCACCUAACUUGGUGCCCUUUCCUCAAUCUUGGUUUCUGUUUCUGCUGCCUAUUUAUACACGCUGUAAGAAGCUCAUUACCUUCCUUUCCCAGUUGGGUGUCUUUCCAGCCUUGUGCUCCUCUUUUUGCCCUUGAUCCUCAGACACCAUGAUUCUGCUUCAUUUCUACAUGUACCAUUAUAAAAACACAUAUACGUCCUUGCAUAUUAGAGGUGCUGAACAAAUGGUUGUAGAAUGAAUGAAUAUAUGAAACAAAUUGUUUUCUACAUUCACGUAUGCAUUCCUUCAAUAUUUAGCAAGUACCUAAUAUAUACGUAGAUACCAAGCUAUCCCUCUACACAAAUCAUUCCUCUCCUCCUUUUCUCAUCUUCCCCCUUUCCCAUUCUAUCUUUUUUCCUUUCCCUGAGCCAUAGAGUUAGACUGAGUGCCCGGCAAGGCAGGAUGCAGAGACACUUCUGCCAGUGGAAACAGACACCAUGGAAAGGAGCCAGAUGAAAUAAGGGCAAAGACAGCUGUACAACACGCAGAGAGAAACCAACCAGAAUGGAAAGCAGUGAUUCAUGGAGCACUGCAACUCGGAUACUCCUUGGGUUUCACUCUGAGAGCUACUGCAGGACUGAGGUCAGUGAGGACUGGCAUCAAGAUGAAGGACAGACAGGCUCCUCCUCCCUGGAGAUGUGAUGCCCGUCAAUCCCUCCCCUUAAUCCUCUUCUGCGCACCCCACCCCCACUCCUCCCUCACACUGACCAGUGUCCUGGGCCUUUAAGAGUUGGAUGGGCUGGACUGAGGAGAGCGCUCACACCUCUCCCCACCCUACUCUUUCUAUCUGACUGUACGUCUGCCAGUGACAGCAGCAAACUGCAGCAGAAGAGGGGAGGAAGCCAGAGAGUGCAAGAGAAGCAAAGGAGAAAAGGAGCCCUCCUGGGUUUCCUCGGCCCACAGCAGAAAGCGUCGCAGAUCUCAGACACAGGACUUCUCUCCUGCCCACGGUAAGGGCCUGGAGGCUCAGACCAGCCUCUGCUCCAAGCUCUGGCCUGUCUGAGUCCCUAACUCUGCCCUCCACAUGCUUACCCACCCUGACUAAAUCAUACCCUAGACUCUUUUGCCUGAACAGGCCUACAGGGCUCUGACCUCCUGGUUUUCUCUAGCUUAACCUCUUUGACUUACAGUUUUCCUGCUGGUUGUAUCAGUCACCUCUUUAUAUGAGGACCUCUUAGCUACCCAGGCUACCACUCAGAGGUGAGCCCCACCCUAGUAAGGGAAGAGAGAGAAUUGGAGCAGCCAUUCUUUAGCACAAAUUCAAUUACAGAUUGUUGAGGAUUACCAAAUGAGGGCUGGCCAAGACCCAUGGGGAGUACAGAAACCCCUGGUAAUAGGGAGAGUUGUGAGACUUCCUUGGAAAGAGCCAGGGUUUGAGUUCUAUGCCUGGUUCUUAGCCUGCUCAAUGACCCAGGGCAGUUUGUUGGUGUGCCAGAGUGCUGUGCUGGGAAGAGCACUUGCUUCUAGUCCUGACUCUGAUGUUAACUAGCUCUGUGACUUUGGACCACAACUUCCUGAUCUAUGAUCAGAGGGAGUGGAGGCUUCCCCAGAUUUGCUUGUGUAUCAGGAGUGCUUGCUAAAGAUAAAUAUUCCUGGACCCCAUCCUUGGAAAUCUGGAUCUGGUAGAUUUGAGGUGGAGCUAAGGAAUCUCUAUUUUAAGACACUUUCCAGGAGAUAUUGAUAUAGCCAGGAACUGCUGGAUUGAUGUGUUAUAAAAGAGGAGUCUUCAAGCUCUAACAUUCUGAGGGCUAUGACCCAUUCUGUCCUCUUUAUGUGAACCAGGUCUGUCAUAAUCCUGCUCCAAAGCAAGAGAGUAGACUGAUUCUCUUCCUUCCUACCCUCAGAGAGACCAUACACACCUUGAAUUCCACUAUUAGCCAUUGGCGCCAUUGGCAACUCUGCCAAAGUCCAUAUCUAGGUGACAUGAAGCCACCUGGCAGUUGAGGACCAAAUCUUGCUCGGCAGUCCUUGGCUACUUCCCACUUUAUUUUGUGUCUCUAUUUUCUCAUCUGUGUUAUAGAGGUAAUUAUCCAUAUCCUCAAGGAUCUCCACAUAUGUGCCUAGGAGUAAACAGUUAAGACCCAAUCUCUCUUACUCUCAGUCAUUAUCCCCUGCUCCUUGCCUUUUGCUCUUGCUCCCACUUCCAAAUCCUUUUUCCCUCUUCUCCUAACUGCACCUACAUCAGUUGUGACCGUACUUCCCAUCCUACCUUCAGGCACCAAAGGAAACACCAAGACCUAGAACACCUGGGUUCUAAGUCUCAUUCUCUGGGCAGUUUGUUUACUCAAUCUCCUAGGAUACAGGGGAAAAUGAGGCCGAGCAGAGGGAUGUGCUACUCAGUAUCCGAACCCAAGUGUCCCCCUUCCAGGCUCUCAAACUCCUCACAGUGGAAGAGAACCUGAGCUAUUGAGAAUUAGAAGAGAAACAAAAGAGGAAGGAGUAAUGAAGAGAAGGUAUAAGGAGAAGGAUGAGAAGAGGAGAGCAAAGAGAGGCUGACUUAAGUGAGCAAACAGGGAGGCAGAGAGAGGUUGAGAAGAGUGAGCUGGGGAGAAAGGAAAAGGAAGGGGUCAAGCAGAGAAUGGGGAAAGGAAAGAAAGAAAAGAAGGGCUAUUAAGUGUAAUACGGUGGGAACAGAAAAUGAUGGGGAGGAGAGACAAAACACUGAUGUCCCUCAUUCAGUCUUAUCUCUGCUUUAAUCUGCUUCCUAGAGAAAGCCCUUUCUAAGGGCAGAGUCUCAGUGAGACCUCUGAGGUGGUCAUAUAGAGACCUCAGUUCUAGUCCCAGCUCUGCCACUUAAUUCAUUAGGCGACUGGCAGUUCAGCUAGUCCUCUGUCCCCUUCUCUAUAAAAUGCAGUCCAGCUCUGACAUUCUGUGGCUCCCUGAGUUGAAAUUGGCCCUCUAAUGGCCACAUGUCACCUAGAUACAGGUUUAAAAUAGUGAUUCAGGAGUGGGAGCGGAUUGGAAGAGCAUGCCGAGCUCUGGGAUUGGAAGAGUUUGACAAGAGAGGUUAAAAUAAUUUUCUAAGGCUGGUUUGAGAGGAGGAGGAGGUAGGGGUGUCCCAGCAAAAUAGGGGUGUCCCAGCACUUGGGCUCUGUUCUCAGGCUUCCCAUGUUUCAGGACAUCAUGGUGAGGCUCCCAGACACAGGCAUAAGGGAAGGUAAUUCUGUCUUCUUCCAGGGCCAAGGCCCACCCAUCCCAGAAGUUUAGAAGAGAGAUGAGGCAGGAUGUUGGCAAGGAGGAUUAGGCUUCAGCCCGGGUUACCUCAACCUCCCUUAGAGUCUGAGGACCUAAGACAUUUAAGAAAGACCUGUUACUUUUCAGUCUUCAUACAGCUUUUGUAAACCUCAGAUUCCAAACUGUGCAUCCCCACCCAGCAAAGCAGAGAUGCUUUUCUGUCUUCUUUUCUUCCUUCUUCAAUCAGAGGUUUCUUCUGGUCUCACCCAAGCUUACACAUUUGGCAUCAGCCAGCAAAACCUUUCCCUGACAGUUGGAACUGUCUCAGGGUUCUUGCUCUCCUGAGAGCUGCCUUGAGAUAUUUCUUCUGCUUAGGCUCAAACUGAUUCUCUGCACAUUUCUACUCCUUUGGAAAGCUUUCUCUAGGUCCUGCAGUCAGGAAAGCUGUAUUCUCAGUGAUCUCCACAUUAUUCCUGAAGACUUAGUCACCCUGGGUGACUUUAUAGUCUCUUCCUACUUAAGGGAGAUAGGGCACUAAUAUGCUGUGUGACCUCAGACAAGUCACAUCAUAUUUCUGGACUUCUGCUCUUUCAUUUGUAAAACGUAGGGAGUUGAACUGCAUGAUGUGUCAAUGGAGUACUAACUGAAUGAUUGGUUUAAGGAUUCUUUCAGUUUUUUAGAUGUUCACCACUGUCAAAAUGUUAAACUUAUUAAUUAAAAACCACAACAUUUUUAUUCAAGUGUAGAUCCUUUGCUUAUACAAGAGCAUAGAGCUUUAUGUUUCAUGGGCUUGGCCAGUUUCAGCAUGAUUUGGUUAAGAGUUGAGUAUAUUUCUUCUUGAGGCAGAGCUAGAAUCAAAGUGGCCACAAAUCAAAUCUUCUAGUUCUUUUCAAGGCAAGUUUGUUGUUAGCUAUUAGGACAACCUAACCAGUCCUAAAUUAGACAGCACAUAUUUAAAGGUAGGAACUCUUUUUUAGUAGGUAGAGAAAACUUGAAAAUGCAGUUCUGAGACUAUGUAACUUAUCUGGUCCAUUAAAACUGUGAGAAUUACUUUUAUGAAAAGGAGUAUAAAAUAUACUUUAUCAUGUGAAGGUAGAAGUGGCUUAUUUAAGUAGGUGCAGCACCAAGCGUUGUAGAAGAGACAAAAGAAAUACUCUGGGGCUUCCCUGGUGGCGCAGUGGUUGAGAGUCCGCCUGCCGAUGCGGGGGACACGGGUUCGUGCCCCGGUCCGGGAAGAUCCCACAUGUCGCAGAGCAGCUGGGCCCAUGAGCCAUGGCCACUGAGCCUGCGCGUCCGGAGCCUGUGCUCCGCAACGCGAGAGGCCACAACAGUGAGAGGCCCGCGUAC
rnacentral:lncRNA from 1 species